UAAAGGAAUUGGCGGGGGAGCACCACAAGGGGUGAAGCCUGCGGUUCAAUUGGAGUCAACGCCAGAAAUCUUACCCGGAGAGACAGCAGAAUGAAGGUCAAGCUGAAGACUUUACCAGACAAGCUGAGAGGUGGUGCAUGGCCGUCGCCAGCUCGUGCCGUGAGAUGUCCUGUUAAGUCAGGUAACGAGCGAGAUCCCUGCCUCUAGUUGCCACCAUUACUCUCAGGAGUAGUGGGGCGAAUUAGCGGGACCGCCGCAGUUAAUGCGGAGGAAGGAAGGGGCCACGGCAGGUCAGUAUGCCCCGAAACUCUGGGGCCACACGCGGGCUGCAAUGGUAAUGACAAUGGGUUCCAAAUCCGAAAGGAGGAGGUAAUCCCCAAACAUUACCACAGUUAUGACUGAGGGCUGCAACUCGCCCUCGUGAACCUGGAAUCCGUAGUAAUCGCGUCUCAAAAUGGCGCGGUGAAUACGUCCCUGCUCCUUGCACACACCGCCA
rnacentral:rRNA from 1 species